CAUGGAGGGUGAGAAUCCCGUUCGGUUGAUCAGAUUCGCUUUACGAUACGUCAUCUAAGAGUCAAGUUGUUUGGGAUUGCAGCUUAAAAUGGGAGGUAAAUUUCUCCUAAGGCUAAAUAACGGCGAGAGACCGAUAGCGAACAAGUACCGUGAGGGAAAGAUGAAAAGAACUUUGAAAAGAGAGUUAAACAGUACGUGAAAUUGUUGAAAGGGAAACGAUUGAAGCCAGUCGUACCUUCGGGUAAUCAGCCUUUCGAGUGCGAUUCUGUGGAGCGUGAGGAGUUAAACGCCUUCAUGCCUGCAUAUUCGUGCACUUUGGGUGUACUUGCCCGUGUGGUAGGUUAACAUCAAUUUCGGAUAUCAUAAAAUGGCUGGAGGAAUGUAGCUUCGGUCUCGUACUGAAGUGUUAUAGCCUCUGGUAGAUGUGAUGACCGGGAUUGAGGAUUGCAACGAAUACCUUUUGGGCUAUCCGCCUGAUCUCUGAAAGUUGCUCUGGUGCCGAAAGCGUGCUUACGGUUAUCAAAGUUGACGUUCAAAAGGCUAGAACGGGCUAAAUUCGUUAAGGAUGUUGACGUAAUGG
rnacentral:rRNA from 1 species